rnacentral:rRNA from 1 species
AACAGGAUUAGAUACCCUGGUAGUCCACGCCCUAAACGAUGUACACUAGUUGUUGUGAGGCUCGACCUUGCAGUAAUGCAGUUAACACAUUAAGUGUACCGCCUGGGGAGUACGGUCGCAAGAUUAAAACUCAAAGGAAUAGACGGGGACCCGCACAAGCGGUGGAGCAUGUGGUUUAAUUCGACGAUACACGAAGAACCUUACCUGGACUCGACAUAGUAAGAAUGAUUUAGAGAUAGAUUAGUGUCUGCUUGCAGAAACUUGCAUACAGGUGCUGCACGGCUGUCGUCAGCUCGUGUCGUGAGAUGUUGGGUUAAGUCCCGCAACGAGCGCAACCCUCGUCCUUAGUUGCUAACAGUUCGGCUGAGAACUCUAAGGAGACUGCCUACGCAAGUAGGAGGAAGGUGAGGAUGACGUCAAGUCAUCAUGGCCCUUACGUCCAGGGCUACACACGUGCUACAAUGGGGUAUACAAAGAGCAGCAAUACGGUGACGUGGAGCAAAUCUCAAAAAUGCCCCCCAGUUCGGAUUGUAGUCUGCAACUCGACUACAUGAAGUUGGAAUCGCUAGUAAUCGUAGAUCAGCUAUGCUACGGUGAAUACGUUCCCGGGUCUUGUACUCACCGCCCGUCACACCAUGGGAGUUGAACUCAUUCGAAGCGGGGAUGCUAAAGUAGCUACCUUCCACAGUGGAUUCAGCGACUGGGGUGAAGUCGUAACAAGGUAACC